UAAGGAAUAUUGGUCAAUGGACGCAAGUCUGAACCAGCCAUGCCGCGUGGAGGAUGAUGGCCCUCUGGGUUGUAAACUUCUUUUAUCUGGGAAUAAACCCAUCUUUUCUAAGGUGGUUGACGGUACCAAAUGAAUAAGCACCGGCUAACUCCGUGCCAGCAGCCGCGGUAAUACGGAGGGUGCAAGCGUUAUCCGGAUUCACUGGGUUUAAAGGGUGCGUAGGUGGGCAGGUAAGUCAGUGGUGAAAUCUCUGGGCUUAACCCAGAAACUGCCGUUGAUACUAUCUGUCUUGAAUAUAGUGGAGGUGAGCGGAAUAUGUCAUGUAGCGGUGAAAUGCUUAGAUAUGACAUAGAACACCCAUUGCGAAGGCAGCUCGCUACACUAUUAUUGACACUGAGGCACGAAAGCGUGGGGAUCAAAC
rnacentral:rRNA from 1 species